ACGGUGAACGCUAACGGCAUGUCUAAGGCAUGCAAGUCGAAUGCUGAGCUUGCUCAGCAUGGCAAACGGGAGAGUAACACAUUGGUAAUCUACCUUGAUCUUGGGGAUAAUCCGAAGAAAUUUGGAAUAAGAGCCAAUAGUCAUGGGGGGACAUAAGUCAUUCCCAUGUAAAGUUCCGGCGGAUCAAGAGGAGCCUAUGGCCUAUCAGCUUGUUGGUAAGGUAAAAGCUUACCAAUGCUAUGACAGGUAGCGGGUGUGAGAGCAUGGCCCGUCUCACUGGGACUGAGACACUGCCCAGACUCCUACGGGAGGCUGCAGUCGAGAAUCUUCCUCAAUGGACGAAAGUCUGAAGGAGCAAUGCCGCGUGAUCGAUGAAGCCUUUAGGGGUGUAAAGAUCUUUUAUCAGGGAAGAAUCCGUGACGGUACCUGAUGAAUAAGUCACUGCUAACUACGUGCCAGCAGCAGCGGUAAUACGUAGGUGGCAAGCGUUACCCGGAUUAACUGGGCGUAAAGCGUCCGCAGGCUGUCAUUCAAGUCUUUGGUUAAAUCUCGGGGCUCAACCUCGAGACCGCCAAAGAUACUGUAUGACUAGAGGCUGGGAGAGGCAAGCGGAAUUACUGGUGUAGUAGUAAAAUGCGUUAAUAUCAGUAAGAACACCAAAAGCGAAGGCAGCUUGCUAGAACAGUCCUGACGUUCAGGGACGAAAGCGUGGGGAGCGAAUGGGAUUAGAUACCCCAGUAGUCCACGCCGUAAACGUUGGAUACUAAAUAUUGGAAGUUUCGACCCUUUCAGUGUUGUUUACCUAAGCUAACGCCUUAAGUAUCCCGCCUGGGAAGUACGGCCGCAAGGCUAAAACUCAAAGGAAUUGACGGGAACCCGCACAAGCGGUGGAGCAUGUGGUUUAAUUCGAUGAUAAGCGGGGAACCUUACCAAGGCUUGACAUAUAGCUGCAAAUCCUAGGAAACUAGGACUCUUUCGAAGGUGCUAUACAGGUGCUGCAUGCUUGUCGUCAGCUCGUGUCGUGAGAUGUUGGGUUAAGUCCUUUAACGAGCGCAACCCUUAUCCUAUGUUAAAUGAUCAUGGGAGACUGCCCCGGUUUAACGGGGAGGAAGGUGAGGAUGACGUCAAAUCAGCAUGGCUCUUACGCCUUGGGCUACGCACGUGCUACAAUGGUCAGUACAAAGAGUCGCAAGACCGCGAGGUGGAGCUAAUCUCAUAAAACCAGUCUCAGUUCGGAUUGGAGUCUGCAACUCGACUCCAUGAAGUUGGAAUCGCUAGUAAUCGUGGAUCAGCAUGCCACGGUGAUACGUCCCGGCGUGCCCACCGC
rnacentral:rRNA from 1 species